rnacentral:rRNA from 1 species
UAAGGAGACUGCCGGUGACAACCGGAGGAAGGUGGGAUGACGUCAAGUCAUCAUGGCCCUUACGGCCUGGGCUACACACGUGCUACAAUGGUCGGUACAAAGGGUUGCCAAGCCGCGAGGUGGAGCUAAUCCCAUAAAACCGAUCGUAGUCCGGAUCGCAGUCUGCAACUCGACUGCGUGAAGUCGGAAUCGCUAGUAAUCGUGAAUCAGAAUGUCACGGUGAAUACGUUCCCGGGCCUU